CACCCCGAGCCCGGCAGAGUUGGUGCCUCGGGAGUUCCCGGCUCCCUCCUGACCGGGGACGUGCGGCCGCCGCGCCGGGGCCUCUGCCGAGCGCUGCCCACUCCUCGCUGCGGACACCCGGGGCCAGACGGUUCUCGGGGUGGGGACCUCCUGCGCCUGGUGGGAUGUUAGCAGCACCCUGGCCCCCGCUCUCCGGUUAUCAGCAGCAACCCCCGCCCCAGCUUUGACACCCAAACUCUGCAGAUGAGGCCGAACCCCGCCCCGCCCCCGUGCCCCGGGGCAGAAUCACCUGCUCGAGUGUGGUCGUUCCCCGGGUGGUCACCGCGGCCACCACGUGCCUGAACCAUUGCGGGGGACAGCGGAGACCCCCGCCCGGACUGGGGAGGCCCUACAGACUCAGGCCGGAGAGGGGGAGCGAGAGGGUGCCGAGGGCCCGCCAGGCGGGAGAGGCCGGGGCUGGCCCUCCAGGCGGUCCCAGCUGCGAUCACAAGCUGGCUUCUCUGUGCCGCGGGUCAGUGGCCUUGCCCGAGACUAGUCAGCUCCAGAGCCGAGCGCAGCAUCCAGCGAUGGGGAAGCUUGGCCUUGUCCCCUUUUCCAGCCAAGAUACCUUCCAGGAGGACUUGCAAACGACCUGUGCAAGUCUGAAUAACUGGGUUGUGACUACCAGAGGAGGUGGGGAGAGGGCUUUGAAAAUUGUGGGUCUGCAGGGAUGGAAGUCACCGGCAAAGGUGGGUGGAGCCGAGCCCCCAGCCCAGGAAAGCUGGAACAAGGGUGAAGGCCUGAAGAACUGGAAGGCGAUGACAGUGACCAGUGAAGGUAGUUUCAUGGUAAGGAUCUGUUUAGCGCACCUACUCCAUCAGAAACCUGCAGCCAGGACCUUGCCCAGCACACCAAGUGACAUCGCACUGGGGCUCGAGGUCUGGUUGAGGUGCAUUUCGGAGCUUGGGGAAUGCCCCACCCGCCCCCAUCUGCUCUAGGAUUGUCCCUCCCACCACCCCCAUACUGCAGGUACCAGGGUGCCCAGGCUGCGGUGGAGAGGGACCUGUGGCUUCACACCUGUGCACACCUGUGCAGUGCACAGCAACCACUUUCCAUGUCCUCCAAGCCUGAGACAGCAGCCCCCCCAGGCCCGGUCCACACCUGAAGGGCCACAUGGCCUGUCAGGGUCCAGAUCAUCACACCACAGAAGAGGCAGGGGCAGUGCUGGGACCUCUUGAGUUAUAGAUGCGGACGUGGGGAACUCACGCCCUGUGGUGGCCUGCUUAGGGUCUCAGAGCCCCUGGUGGCUGCUAGACCGAAGCAGAGAGGCCACCUCUGGGCAGCAGGCAGCUGGUUCCAGCCUAGGCUGGGGCAGAGAUCUGCCACCUGGCGGGAUGCCCAGCCUUCUGUGCCCAGCAGGCUGUCCUAAGACUGGGAUCGUAUGAUGGUGAGUAUGGGUCCCAUGUGUGCUUUUCAACACCCAUAGAAAAUACAACACAAGAGUGCAUCCUGAUGGAGACUUCAGACGUUUGUGAUAAUAACGGAUCAAUAUUGGUUCUUGGCCUGUCACACGCCUACACCCUAAUGAGAGAAGUCUUGAGGUUUUCAAAUGUCUGUUGACGGCCAUUGUGCUGCCCAAGAUGACCAGUCAACUGAAUCCACUCGCUAAAGAAGCAGCUCCUCCCGGAGAAGCUGGAUUCCUCCAGAAAAACAUUAAACGGUUUCCCCAACUGUG